rnacentral:rRNA from 1 species
AACGUAGGAGGCGAGCGUUAUCCGGAUUUACUGGGCGUAAAGCGCACGCAGGCGGCUUCGUAAGGCGGCUGUGAAAGCUCCUGGCUUAACUGGGAGAGGCCAGUCGCGACUGCGGGGCUUGAGGUUGGGAGAGGGGUAUGGAAUUCCCGGUGUAGUGGUGGAAUGCGUAGAGAUCGGGAGGAACACCAGUGGCGAAGGCGGUACCCUGGCCCACACCUGACGCUGAGGUGCGAAAGCGUGGGGAG